GACAGAGGGUGCAAACGUUGUUCGGAAUUACUGGGCGUAAAGCGUGUGUAGGCGGCCUUAUAAGUCGGAUGUGAAAGCCCAGGGCUCAACCCUGGAAGUGCACUCGAUACUGUAAGGCUCGAGUACUGGAGAGGUUGGUGGAAUUCUCGGUGUAGAGGUGAAAUUCGUAGAUAUCGAGAGGAACACCGGUGGCGAAGGCGGCCAACUGGACAGAUACUGACGCUGAGACACGAAAGCGUGGGGAGCAAACAGG
rnacentral:rRNA from 1 species